AGGUACUUCAAUCAGUUUAUUAUUAGCAACCUUCAGUGACAGUAAGGUGUUAAGAUGAGUUAUCUCAACAGGUAAAUUCUUUAUCUUAUUGAAUGAAAGAUCAAGGCACUCCAAUUUAGUGAGGCAGGCUAUUUCAGGAGGUAAAUAUCUGAUAGAGAAAUGACAGACAGAGAGCUUAGUCAGGCGCUUAAGACCAGCAAUAUCUCUUAAAAGUGGGAAAGCUGAAGGUCUAGAGGGAACUUUACAUAGCUCCAAUUCUUUCAAAUUCUUCAACUUCUGCAAAUCCAGUCCACUCAUCCCAGGAAAUGAUACCUUCACU
rnacentral:misc_RNA from 1 species